AACGUGGAGGCGUCGCAUGGCGCCAUCACCAGAGGUCAGCCGUCGGGGGAGCGGCCCAUGUAGUAUUAGCUUGUUGGCGGGGUAACGGCCCACCAAGGCAAAGAUGCUUAGCGGGUGUGAGAGCACGACCCGCGCCACUGGCACUGAGACACUGGCCAGACUCCUACGGGAGGCUGCAGUCGAGGAUCUUCGGCAAUGGGCGCAAGCCUGACCGAGCGACGCCGCGUGUGCGAUGAAGGCCUUCGGGUUGUAAAGCACUUUGGCGGGGGAGGAAAGCCCGAAAGGGUCUGACCUAUCCCGAGAACAAGCACGGGCUAAGUUCGUGCCAGCAGCCGCGGUAAGACGAACCGUGCGAACGUUGUUCGGAAUCACUGGGCUUAAAGGGCGCGUAGGCGGGCGAUCAAGUCGGGGGUGAAAUCUUUCGGCUCAACCGGAAAAUAGCCUUCGAUACUGGUCGCCUCGA
rnacentral:rRNA from 1 species